rnacentral:rRNA from 1 species
AGUCACUGACAUUAGAUACCCGGGUAGUCCAGGGUGUAAACGCUGCAGACUUGGUGUUGGAGGCCCUUUGGGGGCAUUCAGUGCCGGAGAGAAGUUGUUAAGUCUGCUACUUGGGAGUACGUCCGCAAGGAUGAAACUUAAAGGAAUUGGCGGGGGAGCACCGCAACGGGAGGAGCGUGCGGUUUAAUUGGAUUCAACACCGUAAAACUCACCAGGGAAGACUGUUACAUGAAGGCCGAGAUGAAGACUCUGCUAGAUUUCAG